GCAUAUCAAAUAAGCGGAGGAAAAGAAACUAACAAGGAUUCCCCUAGUAACGGCGAGUGAACCGGGAAGAGCUCAAAUUUGAAAUCUGGCGUGCUCAGUGCGUCCGAGUUGUAAUCUAUAGAGGCGUUUUCCGUGCCGGACUGUGUCUAAGUCCCUUGGAACAGGGUAUCAAAGAGGGUGAUAAUCCCGUACUUGACACAAUGACCGGUGCUCUGUGAUACGUCUUCUACGAGUCGAGUUGUUUGGGAAUGCAGCUCAAAAUGGGUGGUGAGUUCCAUCUAAAGCUAAAUAUUGGCGAGAGACCGAUAGCGAACAAGUACCGUGAGGGAAAGAUGAAAAGCACUUUGGAAAGAGAGUUAAACAGUACGUGAAAUUGUUGAAAGGGAAACGAUUGAAGUCAGUCGUGACUGAGAGGCUCAGCCGGUUCUGCCGGUGUAUUCCCCUCAGUCGGGUCAACAUCAGUUUUGUUCGGUGGAUAAGGGCAGCUGGAAGGUGGCACCUCCGGGUGUGUUAUAGCCAGCUGUCGCAUACAUCGAAUGAGACUGAGGAAUGCAGCUCGCCUUUAUGGCCGGGGUUCGCCCACGUCCGAGCUUAGGAUGUUGACAUAAUGGCUUUAAACGACCCGUCUUGAAAACACG
rnacentral:rRNA from 1 species